rnacentral:tRNA from 1 species
CUGGGUUGGCGUUGUGUGGCGGGGGAGGGGUGGAACAUGUUGGGGUGUGUGGGGUGUUCUAAUAGCAUGGCUAGA